CACCUGGUUGAUCCUGCCAGUAGUCAUAUGCUUGUCUCAAAGAUUAAGCCAUGCAUGUCUAAGUAUAAGCUUUAAACGGCGAAACUGCGAAUGGCUCAUUAAAACAGUUAUAGUUUAUUUGGUGAUCGAUUACUAUUUGGAUAACCGUAGUAAUUCUAGAGCUAAUACAUGCGUCAAGGCCCGACUUCGGAAGGGCUGCGUUUAUUAGAUACAGAACCAACCUAGGCUCCGCCUAGUCCUUGUUGGUGAUUCAUAAUAACCCGGCGAAUCGCACGGCUUGUCCGGCGAUGGACCAUUCAAGUUUCUGACCUAUCAGCUAUGGACGGUAGGGUAUUGGCCUACCGUGGCGUUGACGGGUAACGGGGAAUUAGGGUUCGAUUCCGGAGAGGGAGCCUGAGAAACGGCUACCACAUCUAAGGAAGGCAGCAGGCGCGCAAAUUACCCAAUCCUGAUACAGGGAGGUAGUGACAAGAAAUAACAAUACAGGGCAAUUCUGUCUUGUAAUUGGAAUGAGUAGAUUUUAAAUCUCUUUACGAGUAUCAAUUGGAGGGCAAGUCUGGUGCCAGCAGCCGCGGUAAUUCCAGCUCCAAUAGCGUAUAUUAAAGUUGUUGCGGUUAAAAAGCUCGUAGUUGGAUUUCUGCCUUGGGCGACCGAUCCACCUUUCCUACGGGAUUGGUUGGUAUCAGUUUGACCUUGGCUUUUCUUGGGAUCGUGCUCACGUACUUACUGUGCGUGACGUGUUCAGACUUUACUUUGAGAAAAUUAGAGUGUUUCAGC
rnacentral:ncRNA from 1 species